GAUGAACGCUCGCUGUGUGCCUAAUACAUGCAUGUUGAACGGGAUGUAGCAAUACAUUCAGUAGCGAAUGGGUGAGUAACACGUACCUAACCUACCUUUAAGACUGGGAUAACUAUUGGAAACAAUAGCUAAUACCGGAUAUAGUUAUUUAUCGCAUGAUGAGUAAUAGAAAGGAGCUUCACAGCUUCACUUAAAAAUGGGGGUGCGGAACAUUAGUUAGUUGGUAGGGUAAUGGCCUACCAAGACGAUGAUGUUUAGCCGGGCCGAGAGGCUGUACGGCCACACUGGGACUGAGAUACGGCCCAGACUCCUACGGGAGGCAGCAGUAAGGAAUUUUCCACAAUGAGCGAAAGCUUGAUGGAGCGACACAGCGUGCAGGAUGAAGUUCUUCGGAAUGUAAACUGCUGUUAUAAGGGAAGAAAAAAUAGAAUAGGAAAUGAUUUUAUCUUGACGGUACCUUAUUAGAAAGCGACGGCAAACUAUGUGCCAGCAGCUGCGGUAAUACAUAGGUCGCAAGCGUUAUCCGGAAUUAUUGGGCGUAAAGCGUCCGUAGGUUUUUUGCUAAGUCUGGAGUUAAAUGCUGAAGCUCAACUUCAGUCUGCUUUGGAUACUGGCAAAAUAGAAUUAUAAAGAGGUAGCGGAAUAUCCUAGUGAAGCGGUGGAAUGCGUAGAU
rnacentral:rRNA from 1 species